GACGAACGCUGGCGGCGUGCUUAACACAUGCAAGUCGAACGAUGAAGCCUAGCUUGCUAGGUGGAUUAGUGGCGAACGGGUGAGUAAUACGUGAGUAACCUACCUUUAACUCUGGGAUAAGCCUGGGAAACUGGGUCUAAUACCGGAUACGACCAAUCUCCGCAUGGGGUGUUGGUGGAAAGCGUUAUGUAGUGGUUAUAGAUGGGCUCACGGCCUAUCAGCUUGUUGGUGAGGUAACGGCUCACCAAGGCGACGACGGGUAGCCGGCCUGAGAGGGUGACCGGCCACACUGGGACUGAGACACGGCCCAGACUCCUACGGGAGGCAGCAGUGGGGAAUAUUGCACAAUGGGCGCAAGCCUGAUGCAGCGACGCCGCGUGAGGGAUGACGGCCUUCGGGUUGUAAACCUCUGUAGCAGGGAAGAAGAGAAAUUGACGGUACCUGCAGAGAAAGCGCCGGCUAACUACGUG
rnacentral:rRNA from 1 species